GACAGAGGUGCCGAGCGUUAGGCGGAAUCACUGGGCUUAAAGCGUGUGUAGGCGGGUCCGUAAGUACCUUGUGAAAUCCCACGGCUCAACCGUGGAACUGCUUGGUAUACUGCGGGUCUUGAGCCACCUAGGGGCAAGCGGAACAAGCGGUGGAGCGGUGAAAUGCGUAGAUAUCGCUUGGAACGCCGAAGGUGAAAACAGGCUGCUGGGGUUGUGCCGACGCUGAGACCCGAAAGCCAGGGGAGCAAACGGG
rnacentral:rRNA from 1 species